AGGCGUAGUUCAGUGGUAGAACAUUAGCCUUCCAAGCUGACUAUGCGAGUUCGAUUCUCGUCGCCUG
rnacentral:tRNA from 1 species